rnacentral:rRNA from 1 species
GAUGAACGCUGGCGGCGUGCCUAACACAUGCAAGUCGAACGGACGCACGGGAAGCUCGCGCCCCUGCUGUUGGCGGCUGACGGGCGAGUAAGACGUACAUAACCUUCUACUAUUACUGGGGUAAUAACGGGAAGACAGAUCUGAUAAUACAGAAUACGUCGUACGGCAGAGAUCAAAAGAGAUUGACGGCUUUGGCGAUUCAAUUAGACGGUUCCGCGUUGCAUUAGCUAGUUGGUAAGGUAACGGCCUACCAAGGCGACGAUGCAUAGCUGAGCUGAGAGGGUGAUCGGCCACACUGGAACUGAGACACGGUCCAGACUCCUACGGGAGGCAGCAGUAGGGAAUAUUGCGCAAUGGGCGAAAGCCUGACGCAGCAACACCGCGUGGGUGAUGAAGGUCUUCGGGUCGUAAAGCUCUGUUAUUAGGAAAGAACAGAUGUAUAAUAAUCUGUGGACGUCUUGACGGUACCUAAUCAGUAAGCACCGGCUAACUACGUG